UACAGAGGUCUCAAGCGUUGUUCGGAUUCAUUGGGCGUAAAGGGUGCGUAGGCGGUCUGUCGCGUCGGAUGUGAAAACCCAGGGCUCAACCCUGGGCCUGCAUUCGAUACGGGCAGACUAGAGUACGGCAGGGGAGACUGGAAUUCCUGGUGUAGCGGUGAAAUGCGCAGAUAUCAGGAGGAACACCGGUGGCGAAGGCGGGUCUCUGGGCAUUAACUGACGCUGAGGAGCGAAAGCAUGGGGAGCGAACAGG
rnacentral:rRNA from 1 species